UACAGAGGGGGCAAGCGUUGUUCGGAAUUACUGGGCGUAAAGGGCUCGUAGGCGGCCAACUAAGUCAGACGUGAAAUCCCCAGGCUCAACCUGGGAACUGCGUCUGAUACUGGAUGGCUUGAAUCCGGGAGAGGGAUGCAGAAUUCCAGGUGUAGCGGUGAAAUGCGUAGAUAUCUGGAGGAAUACCGGUGGCGAAGGCGGCAUCCUGGACCGGCAUUGACGCUGAGGAGCGAAAGCUAGGAGAGCAAACGGG
rnacentral:rRNA from 1 species